AUUGAACGCUGGCGGCAUGCUUUACACAUGCAAGUCGAACGGUAACAGGCCGCAAGGUGCUGACGAGAGGCGAACGGGUGAGUAAUGCAUCGGAACGUGCCCAGUCGUGGGGGAUAACGCAGCGAAAGCUGUGCUAAUACCGCAUACGAUCUAUGGAUGAAAGCGGGGGACCGUAAGGCCUCGCGCGAUUGGAGCGGCCGAUGUCAGAUUAGGUAGUUGGUGGGGUAAAGGCCCACCAAGCCAACGAUCUGUAGCUGGUCUGAGAGGACGACCAGCCACACUGGGACUGAGAAACGGCCCAGACUCCUACGGGAGGCAGCAGUGGGGAAUUUUGGACAAUGGGCGCAAGCCUGAUCCAGCAAUGCCGCGUGCAGGAAGAAGGCCUUCGGGUUGUAAACUGCUUUUGUACGGAACGAAAAGGUUUGGGUUAAUACCCUGGGCCGAUGACGGUACCGUAAGAAUAAGCACCGGCUAACUACGUGCCAGCAGCCGCAGUAA
rnacentral:rRNA from 1 species